UACGUAGGGGCCUAGCGUUGUCCGGAUUUAUUGGGCGUAAAGAGCGUGUAGGCGGCUAGAUAGGUCCGUUGUGAAAACUCGAGGCUCAACCUCGAGACGUCGAUGGAAACCAUCUGGCUAGAGUCCGGAAGAGGAGAGUGGAAUUCCUGGUGUAGCGGUGAAAUGCGCAGAUAUCAGGAAGAACACCCGUGGCGAAGGCGGCUCUCUGGUACGUGACUGACGCUGAGACGCGAAAGCGUGGGGAGCAAACAGG
rnacentral:rRNA from 1 species